rnacentral:rRNA from 1 species
UACGUAGGUGACAAGCGUUGUCCGGAUUUACUGGGCGUAAAGAGCGCGCAGGCGGUCGUUCAAGUCGAGUGUGAAAGCCCCCGGCUCAACUGGGGAGGGUCACUCGAUACUGAUCGACUCGAAGGCAGGAGAGGGAAGUGGAAUUCCCGGUGUAGUGGUGAAAUGCGUAGAUAUCGGGAGGAACACCAGUGGCGAAGGCGACUUCCUGGCAUGUGAUUGACGCUGAGGCGCGAAAGCUAGGGGAGCAAACGGG